GCUGCUCGGUCCUCCUCCUCCUCCAAGGCUGCUCGGUCCUCCUCCUCCUCCGAGGCUGCUCGGUCCUCCUCCUCCUCCGAGGCUGCUCGGUCCUCCUCCUCCGAGGCUGCUCGGUCCUCCUCCUCCGAGGCUGCUCGGUCCUCCUCCUCCAAGGCUCCUCGGUCCUCCUCCAAGGCUGCUCAGUCUUUGGAUCAUUUCUGAUGGAUAAGUCCUGAUAAGUCCUCAGAGGUGGAUUUGUAGUAGGAACACAAUCAUGUGAUCGUCAGCAGGCAGCUGAUGUAGAAUAGAAUACAAUACAAUAGAACAGAACAGAAGAGCCACUCUAUUGUCAACCAGAACAUACACUAGCUGGUGCACAUUAUGACAGAAAUUCUGAUGCAACAAGCUCACCAUCGGACUGAUGAAUACAAAAACAAACAAACAUUUUCUAAAAUAAAAUAAAAUAAAAUAUAUACAUGUAAACAAUUAUAUAAAAAUAUAGUUGUUUACAUGUAUAUAUUGUAGUGUUCACUGGUUGUCAUGGUUACAGUGACGCCGUGCUGCUAUCUGGCAACGAUACAGAAAUCUGUAACUAAUCCAUGGAUCCAGACUAUAAGCUGCAUCACUGCCAGAAUCUGAUCACUUGGUCCUUGAGUCAUUUCUGACCUUCACUGAAAUUUCAUCCAAAUCUGUUGGUCUGUUUCAGAGGAAUGAUGUAGACAGACAGACAGACGUCUAUCGCUACAAAACUCCGCCUCAAACAGAGAAGUUCUGCCCCACGCUCUACAAAUAAAAACAGUCAUACAACAGCAUCCCUUCCAGAAACAGCUAAACUUUCAUAUAAUCAUUUAUCCAGAUGAUUUUUUAAUAAAAACUGUGAAUCAUUAUAAAUACAACAAUAAAACAUGAAAUGGACUUUAGUAAACCACACAGUAAAACCUCUCCUCUUCACUGCUAACUGCACACGGAAACCUCUCCUGUCUGUAGGACCCUGUAGGUCAGUAUUCUGGUGUAGUAGUUCAUAAGAGGACUCUGUAGGUCAGUAUUCUGGUGUAGUGGUUCAUAAGAAGACUCUGUAGGUCAGUAUUCUGGUGUAGUGGUUCAUAAGAAGACUCUGUAGGUCAGUAUUCUGGUGUAGUGGUUCAUAAGAAGACUCUGUAGGUCAGUAUUCUGGUGUAGUAGUUCAUAAGAGGACUCUGUAGGUCAGUAUGUGUUUGUCCUUCAUAAUGUAUUGUGGCUGUCUAACGCUCAUUUACGCACUCAGAGGGUGAGGUCAGUGUCCUAAACACCUGCUUUCUAAUGCCAGGCUGUUACUAUCCAGCAUGUGGAUGGUACAGCGCUACACA